rnacentral:rRNA from 1 species
CCUACGGGAGGCAGCAGUGGGGAAUUUUGGACAAUGGGCGAAAGCCUGAUCCAGCAAUGCCGCGUGAGUGAAGAAGGCCUUCGGGUUGUAAAGCUCUUUUGUCAGGGAAGAAACGGUGAGGGCUAAUAUCUCUUGCUAAUGACGGUACCUGAAGAAUAAGCACCGGCUAACUACGUGCCAGCAGCCGCGGUAAUACGUAGGGUGCAAGCGUUAAUCGGAAUUACUGGGCGUAAAGCGUGCGCAGGCGGUUUUGUAAGUCUGUCGUGAAAUCCCCGGGCUCAACCUGGGAAUUGCGAUGGAGACUGCAAGGCUAGAAUCUGGCAGAGGGGGGUAGAAUUCCACGUGUAGCAGUGAAAUGCGUAGAGAUGUGGAGGAACACCGAUGGCGAAGGCAGCCCCCUGGGUCAAGAUUGACGCUCAUGCACGAAAGCGUGGGGAGCAAACAGGAUUAGAUACCCUGGUAGUCCACGCCCUAAACGAUGUCUACUAGUUGUUCGGUUUUAAUUACUUGGUAACGCAGCUAACGCGUGAAGUAGACCGCCGUCGGGAGGUACGGUCGGUCGAGUUAAGUUAAACGUUAAAGUUAAAGUUAGUACGGCGUUGAGACGUUAGCCGACGGACGACGACGAGGGAGGAGG